CUUUAUGUAGCAUACAUGAAGAGUGGCGUAAGGGAGAGUAAUACAUAGUUAGCUGCCCUCGGGUCUGGGAUAGCGGCGGGAAACUGCCGGUAAUACCAGAUGAUGUCUUCGGACCAAAGGUGUGAUUUCGCCCGAGGAGGUGACUGUGUCCUAUCAGCUUGUUGGCGGGGUAACGGCCCACCAAGGCUAAGACGGGUAUGGGGCGUGAGAGCGUGCCCCCACUCACUGGGACUGAGAUACUGCCCAGACACCUACGGGUGGCUGCAGUCGAGAAUCUUCGGCAAUGGGCGCAAGCCCGACCGAGCGACGCCGCGUGCGGGAUGAAGGCCUUCGGGUUGUAAACCGCUGUCGUAGGGGAGGAAGCAACCGUGUAGAACGGAAGUUGACCGAUCCUAGGAGGAAGGGCCGGCUAAUCUCGUGCCAGCAGCCGCGGUAAUACGAGAGGCCCAAACGUUAUUCGGAAUUACUGGGCUUAAAGAGUUCGUAGGCGGCGCGGAAAGUAGGGUGUGAAAGCCCUCGGCUCAACCGAGGAAUUGCGCUCUAAACUACCGUGCUUG
rnacentral:rRNA from 1 species